rnacentral:rRNA from 1 species
AACGUAGGAGACAAACGUUAUCCGGAGUUACUGGGCGUAAAGGGCGUGUAGGUGGUUCUGUAAGUCUGGCGUGAAAUUUCUCGGCUUAACCGAGGCAGGUCGUCGGAUACUGCAGGGCUAGAGGACGGUAGAGGCGUGUGGAAUUCCGGGUGUAGUGGUGAAAUGCGUAGAGAUCCGGAGGAACACCAGUGGCGAAGGCGGCAUCCUGGACCGGCAUUGACGCUGAGGCGCGAAAGCUAGGGUAGCAAACGGG